ACACAUGCAAGUCGAACGAAGCACUUCAUAAAGUUUACUUUAAGAAGUGACUUAGUGGCGGACGGGUGAGUAACGCGUGGGUAACCUGCCUUACACAGGGGGAUAACAGUUAGAAAUGACUGCUAAUACCGCAUAAAACAGCAGAGUCGCAUGACUCAACUGUCAAAGAUUUAUCGGUGUAAGAUGGACCCGCGUCUGAUUAGCUAGUUGGUGGGGUAACGGCCUACCAAGGCGACGAUCAGUAGCCGGCCUGAGAGGGUGAACGGCCACAUUGGGACUGAGACACGGCCCAAACUCCUACGGGAGGCAGCAGUGGGGAAUAUUGGACAAUGGGCGAAAGCCUGAUCCAGCGACGCCGCGUGAGCGAUGAAGUAUUUCGGUAUGUAAAGCUCUAUCAGCAGGGAAGAAAACGACGGUACCUGACUAAGAAGCCCCGGCUAACUACGUGCCAGCAGCCGCGGUAAUACGUAGGGGGCAAGCGUUAUCCGGAUUUACUGGGUGUAAAGGGAGCGUAGACGGCAUCACAAGUCAGAAGUGAAAAUCCGGGGCUCAACCCCGGAACUGCUUUUGAAACUGUGGAGCUGGAGUGCAGGAGAGGUAAGCGGAAUUCCUAGUGUAGCGGUGAAAUGC
rnacentral:rRNA from 1 species